rnacentral:rRNA from 1 species
GACGAACGCUGGCGGCGUGCCUCAAACAUGCAAGUCGAGCGGGGCUAUGUAAUACCGCAAGGUAGAACAUAGCCUAGCGGCGAACGGGUGAGUAACACGUGGGUAACCUGCCUGGAAGACAGGGAUAACGAUUCGAAAGGGUCGCUAAUACCUGAUAAUAUCCUUUCAUCGCAUGGUGAUAGGAAGAAGGGGAAACCCGCUUUCAGAUGGGCCCGCGUCCCAUCAGCUAGUUGGUAAGGUAAAGGCUUACCAAGGCGACGACGGGUAGCCGGUCUGAGAGGAUGUACGGCCACACUGGGACUGAGAUACGGCCCAGACUCCUACGGGAGGCAGCAGUUGGGAAUCUUAGGCAAUGGACGAAAGUCUGACCUAGCGACGCCGCGUGAGGGAAGAAGGCCUUCGGGGUUGUAAACCUCUGUCAUGGGGGAAGAAGUAAGUGACGGUACCCAAGAGGAAGCCCCUGCUAACUACGUGCCAGCAGCCGCGGUAAGAGUAACUCUAU